CAGAGAUAAAAAAAAGGGAGAAAAUGAAGGAAUACAAGGAAUGAGAUGACUCAGAUGAGGCAUCAGGCAUAUAUAAGAUUCUGGUCCGCUGCAUUUACCAUAUAUGCAGUUUUUUCUGCAUUUUAAAGCAAGUCUGAUCCGUCCAACCAGUCAAAUGAAAUUGUAUAUUAUUCCAUAUCAACAUCAGCUUUAAAAGGAAAACAAAACUAAUAUGGAAGGAAUGAUCGAACAGUCGACGAAGAAGAAAAAGGAGGAAAUCUGAUAUAAAAAGGGGUGCUAAAUUAAUUUUGAUUCUAGUUCGCCAGUUAUAGCAAUCUGAGCAUGCAGUUCUUCCAAAUCAGAAAAAUGCACCCACAUUUAUAUAUAGAGACUUCAUUGGAUUCUAUGGCACAUCCAAUUAACCUAUUAAUUGGCAGAAUAAUACGUACAAUUAAUGAAGAAAUUCUAUGGUGAAAAAAAUAUCAAUAAACUCCAUUCAUAUGAUUAUUCUCUUCGUAAUAGCAUUUACAAACAUUAUUAAUUAUAUGGUACACAACAAUAUAUAGGAUAAAUUGAUAAAAGACGAAGGCCUCUAGAGAAAACCCUAGAGAGAAACCUCCCAAGAGGCUCCUCCUACCCUUUCAUCGUUUUUUAGACGAACGAUAGCAGUUUAAUUAUAAUAUUAAAAAUUUAUACAAAUAGAGGACAUUCUAGAUACCACUUUGUCUACUUUUUUUUUUUUUUUUAAAUUUCUCUUACUUUAUUCUUACACUCAAUUUGAAGGACGUCGUUGUGAUUUGCACAAAGUACUUUGGGCGAACUUUGUCUAGUGAUGACUCUUAGUGGUUAUAAUGCAACUAUUAUCCACUACAUAUUAUGUGCUGUUGGAUAAUUGGAGGUUGAUUUGUCCUCAAAUAUCCUUUGUGUUAUAGUAUGUUUUUCUUGGCUAAUGCGGUGAGAUCUGCAACAGCACGAUUUUGACUCAUGGCGGUAGUUAUGAUUUAGGGUUUUGAUUGUUUUGGACUAUUGCGUUGUUUGUGUGAAUUUUGUCCGCUCCAGUUUAGUCAUUUGAGGUUGUUAUUUGUCAAUUAUAUUGAGAUUUGUGUCAAAUGUAGAUCUUUAAUUCAUUGUUAAAGUUGUAAUAUAUAGGUGCUAUAAGUAAUAACAGGGAAACCACAUGCUUAUAGAAUAACUUUUUAUUUCUCGCUUAUUGUGAUACGAAGAGUUUAAUGUCGUCGUUGAAUUAGUUGGGUGGCUAAGAUUGUUUUAAAUACAGAAACCACUCCCUUGUUGUAAUUGUAGAGGAAAAUUAACUUUAAUUAAUUAAAUCCCAUGCAGGAGGGCGACCAGGAUAGUGGUUUGAAGAUUUGAAGGCGCUGCCAAAGGGUUAGGAGCCGCGUUUAUACCGAAGGACGUGAAUCAAGUUAAACAAUUGAACUUAGCACUGAGUCUGAGAUGAACGGCUACAUAUAUAAUUAAUUUAUAUACUAUAUAGUCUAGUCCUCUCAUUCUCUGUGGAUAAAUAUUUGCAUGUAAUAGUUUGUCGUGGUUGUAGCGUUUCGAAAAACUAUUACUAUAAAGUUACAUGCAAGAAUCUUUCGAUAUAAGUUUAUACUAGCGAUCCACCUAAAACGUUACGAAUAAUAUAUAGUGAAUGCGUUCCGUAAGAGUCUCUCCAUGUGUGUGUGAUAUAAGUACGUACGUAAGCAAUGCACUUAAAUUCGGUAUUGAGAGCAGCCGGUCAUGACUUUGGUAGUACGAUUCCGUUUACUAGGUGAAGUGUGAAAAUUUUGUACUUUGUGAUCUGUU
rnacentral:lncRNA from 1 species